rnacentral:tRNA from 1 species
GGGGUUGUAGCUCAGUGGUAGAGUACUUGCCUAGCAUGCAUGAAGCUCUGGGUUCAAUUCCCAGUAUCACAC